GCGGGCGCGGUGUACCGGUCGCAUCCCUGCCUUCCAAGCAGGUGGAGCGGGUUCGACUCCCGCCGCCCGCA
rnacentral:tRNA from 1 species